GGUGAUCCGUGUCAAGGAUUGAAGAAUCAAGAUUAAGGGUGAGAUUGUUAGGCUUUUUAAUCUUGAUUAUGUAUCUGCAUAUUUGUUUUGAGUCCUACAUGUAACUUAGAUGUCUAGGGAGUAGCGAGUCCGGCGAAGCUUUAACAAAGAUGUGUGGAGAAGGCGAGAUGCCAGACCGCCGUGAGAAGCGGCAAGACAUGAUGAAGCUGGAGCGUGACCGGCUGCACGAUGAGGAGGAGCUGGGUGAUCCGGCAAGGUAGUUAGCUGUGUGUGUUAGUGGCCAGGAUUUGUGCAUGCACUAGUUAGUUAGUUAGUGGCUGCAUGCAUGAGUUGCAUGGCCAGGUUGCGUGGGCGUUGAGAAAGGAUGGCGUGCAUGUAGCUAGUAGGUUAGUGCGUGGAGGCCGAGUCUUGUGCAUCGUGGAGAGAUUCCAGGGAUGCAUGGUCUUAUCUUGUACUGCCUACUUAAGUUAAGAAAAUGAAUGAGAAGAGGAGGCCGAGAGGGCUGAGGAAUAAGAUGUAGCCAAUGUAUUCACCAAGGAGAGAGCCUCAUGCAAAGUAAGAGCUGGU
rnacentral:lncRNA from 1 species